GGAGUUGGCCGGAUGGCCGCGGCGCAUUCGUUGCGCUGAGGAAGGUCGGGACUCCACAGGGAAAGGUGCUGGCUCGCGCCAGUCGAGGCGACUCGAAGGAAAGUGCCACAGAAAACAAACCGCCGAACACGGGUUCCUUGUGCCGUGUUCGGUAAGGGUGAAAAGGUGCGGUAAGAGCGCACCAGCAUCUUGGGCGACCGGGAUGGCUAGGUAAACCCCACCUGGAGCAAGGCCAUGCAGGGAGAGAGCGUCCCGCUCGCAGACACUCCCGGGUAGGCCGCAUAGAUGGAUGGCCAUCCACAGAACUAAUCAAAACAGUUCGGUUCUCAGACAGAAUCCCGCCUAUAGGCCAACUCCUUGU
rnacentral:RNase_P_RNA from 1 species